rnacentral:rRNA from 1 species
GAUGAACGCUGACAGAAUGCUUAACACAUGCAAGUCGACCGGUGGCGGACGGGUGAGUAACGCGUAAAGAACUUGCCUCACAGAUAGAGACUACAUUUGGAAACGAAAGCUAAUACGUGAUACUGUGGGAGGGCUUUGCGUCCCAUUAGCUCGUUGGGGAGGUAACGGCUCACGAAGGCGAGGAUGGGUAGCCGGACUGAGAGGGUGAUCGGCCACAAGGGGACUGGGACACGGCCCGUACUCAUACGUGAGGCAGGAGUGGAGAAUAGUGGACGAUGUGCCAAAGUCUGAUCCAGCAAUUCUGUGUGCACAAUGAAGUUGUCGGAAGGUAAGUGGCGUUCAGUAGAAAAGCGGUACCCACAGAAGAAGUAACGGCUAACUCCGUGCCAGCAGCCGCGGUAAUAC